GUAAAGAUGUCGAGGGGAAUUACUUUCAGCCACAGUAGUCCUGAUGACCUAUGUUAGGCUCUGAUCCAAAGCCCACUGAAGUCAAUGAGAGUCUUUCAGUCUAGACAUGGCAUCAUAUAAAGAUCUGUUCGGUCCUGUGAAGCUCACGUCUUGCACGAUGCUUUCAAGAAAGCUUUCAAAUAAUCUCCGAACAGCACUGCGCCAGCGUUCUUCCAACAGACUGCCUUCCACAUGCAUUUGAGCUCUGCAGGAAACCCACUGACCUCCCUUGCUCCACACAGAAAUCACACAUGCUCCCUUUGGAUCACUGUUCUGGAAGAUUCUUUCAGGACUUGCAAAUGCGCCACUGCAGCAAAACUGCUUGUAUAGGUUGCCCCAGCUGCACUGUAUGGAAGAAAAGAACAUACCCAUCCCCUGCUGGUUUGACGAGAGGGAGACGUGCUCACAGUUCACCUGGUAGACCAUUUACCUUUGGACUUCAAGACUUUCAGCUGAGGAACUCUCUCUCUCUCUCUUCCUGGAUGGCCUCCAGUGUGAGCCCCGCUGGAGGACAUCAGUGAGGCUGAAUCAGGAUGACAAGGCUCUCAGACAAUUGCGGGGCACACAUCGGUGUGGAAAUAGGUUGUCAUUAUGAAGAGUAAGUGUG